CUACGGGGCGCUGCAGUGAGGAAUAUUGCACAAUGGGGGGAACCCUGAUGCAGCAACGCCGCGUGGAGGAUGACGCAUUUCGGUGUGUAAACUCCUUUUAUAUGUCAAGAAAAUGACGGUAGCAUAUGAAUAAGCACCGGCUAACUCCGUGCCAGCAGCCGCGGUAAUACGGAGGGUGCAAGCAUUACUCGGAAUCACUGGGCGUAAAGGACGCGUAGGCGGGUUGGAAAGUCAGGUGUGAAAUCCUACAGCUUAACUGUAGAACUGCACUUGAAACUUCUAAUCUAGAGUAUGGGAGGGGGAGAUGGAAUUAGUGGUGUAGGGGUAAGAUCCGUAGAUAUCACUAGGAAUACCUAAAGCGAAGGCGAUCUCCUGGAACAUUACUGACGCUAAGGCGUGAAAGCGUGGGGAGCAAACAGGGUUAGAUACCCCCGUAGUC
rnacentral:rRNA from 1 species